CCUGGCGCUGUCAGGGUUAACAGCAGGCCUCUGGAAACUUGAACUUCCCCAGAAGUGCUUGUGCAGCAAUUAGCAGAGCCCCACUCAGAUACAGAAAAAAGUCCCCUCGAUUAAAAAUAAACAAGCAGCCAAGGGUAUUGGAGCCAAGAGUCACCACUGUGUGCCCCAGGCCUGUGGCGGUUACCCCCUUUGCAGAAAAGCCCGCACCUUCCAGAACUGUGAUGGAGAAGCCGGAUGCUCUAGCAGGAUUCUGAGGAAAGAUGGCUGCUCUGUAGUCCCAGCACUAUUCCUGAAUCGCCCACUUUCCCCACUGGCUUUGCUUGCCUCUGGCUCUCUCUGGACUUCCCACCCUGAGGAGCAGAGAUGCUUGCUUGUUACUACAAGGUAUUGAAUAUAGUUCCCUGUCCUAAAUAGUAGGCCGUUAUUGCUUACCUGGACUGCAAGGAGAUCCAACCAGUCCAUUCUGAAGGAGAUCAGCCCUGGGUGUUCUUUGAACGGAAUGAUGCUCAAGCUGAAACUCCAGUACUUUGGCCACCUCAUGUGAAGAGUUGACUCACUGGAAAAGACUCUGAUGCUGGGAGGGAUUAGGGGCAGGAGGAAAAGGGGACGACAGAGGAUAAGAUGGCUGGAUGGCAUCACCAACUCAAUGGACGUGAGUCUGAGUGAACUCCGGGAGUGGCGUGCUGCAAUUCAUGGGGUCACAAAGAGUCGGACACGACUGAGCAACUGAACUGAACUGAACUGAUUGCUUAUCUGUUUUACAUAUAGCAGUGUGUAUCUGUUAAUCCCAAGU
ensembl:lncRNA